rnacentral:rRNA from 1 species
GACGAACGCUGGCGGCGUGCCUAAUACAUGCAAGUCGAACGCAGUGGGGACGGGUGAUUAACACGUGGGUAACCUCCCAUCAGAGGGGAUAACACUUGUAAACAGGUGCUAAACCGAUACUGAUGGAUGGUCCUGCGGUGCAUUAGCUAGUUGGUGAGGUAACGGCUCACCAAGGCAACGAUGCAUAGCGGAACUGAGGGGGUGAUCGGCCACACUGGGACUGAGACACGGCCCAGACUCCUACGGGAGGCAGCAGUAGGGAAUCUUCGACAAUGGACGAAAGUCUGACAGAGCCACGCCGCGGGAGUGAAGAAGGUUUUCGGAUCGUAAAGCUCUGUUGUUAGAGAAGCGGUAUCUAAGGAGAAAGCCACGGCUAACUACGUGCCAGCAGCCGCGGUAAUAC